rnacentral:rRNA from 1 species
GACGAACGCUGGCGGCGUGCCUAAUACAUGCAAGUAGAACGCUGAAGGAAGAGCUUGCUUCUCUGGAUGAGUUGCGAACGGGUGAGUAACGCGUAGGUAACCUGCCUGGUAGCGGGGGAUAACUAUUGGAAACGAUAGCUAAUACCGCAUAAGAGUAGAUGUCGCAUGACAUUUGCUUAAAAGGUGCAAUUGCAUCACUACCAGAUGGACCUGCGUUGUAUUAGCUAGUUGGUGAGGUAACGGCUCACCAAGGCAACGAUACAUAGCCGACCUGAGAGGGUGAUCGGCCACACUGGGACUGAGACACGGCCCGGACUCCUACGGGAGGCAGCAGUAGGGAAUCUUCGGCAAUGGACGGAAGUCUGACCGAGCAACGCCGCGUGAGUGAAGAAGGUUUUCGGAUCGUAAAGCUCUGUUGUAAGAGAAGAACGAGUGUGAGAGUGGAAAGUUCACACUGUGACGGUAUCUUACCAGAAAGGGACGGCUAACUACGUG